rnacentral:rRNA from 1 species
GUGAGGAAUAUUGGUCAAUGGGCGAGAGCCUGAACCAGCCAAGUCGCGUGAAGGAAGAAGGAUCUAUGGUUCGUAAACUUCUUUUGCAGGGGAAUAACGUGCGGGACGUGUCCUGUUUUGUAUGUACCCUGAGAAUAAGGAUCGGCUAACUCCGUGCCAGCAGCCGCGGUAAUACGGCGGAUACGAGCGUUAUCCGGAGUUAUUGGGUUUAAAGGGUGCGUAGGUGGUUUGAUAAGUCAGCGGUGAAAGUUUGCAGCUUAACUGUAAAAAUGCCGUUGAAACUGUCGGACUUGAGUGUAAAUGAGGUAGGCGGAAUGCGUGGUGUAGCGGUGAAAUGCAUAGAUAUCACGCAGAACUCCGAUUGCGAAGGCAGCUUACUAAGCUACAACUGACACUGAAGCACGAAAGCGUGGGGAUCAAACAGGAUUAGAAACCCGUGUAGUCC